rnacentral:piRNA from 1 species
UAGCACCACACCGCUACCCUAGUCUGGC